rnacentral:rRNA from 1 species
CCUACGGGGGGCUGCAGUGGGGAAUAUUGCUCAAUGGGCGCAAGCCUGAUGCAGCCAUGCCGCGUGUGUGAAGAAGGCCUUCGGGUUGUAAAGCACUUUCAGCGGGGAGGAAGGCGGUGAGGUUAAUAACCUCAUCGAUUGACGUUACCCGCAGAAGAAGCACCGGCUAACUCCGUGCCAGCAGCCGCGGUAAUACGGAGGGUGCAAGCGUUAAUCGGAAUUACUGGGCGUAGAGCGCACGCAGGCGGUCUGUCAAGUCGGAUGUGAAAUCCCCGGGCUCAACCUGGGAACUGCAUUCGAAACUGGCAGGCUAGAGUCUUGUAGAGGGGGGUAGAAUUCCAGGUGUAGCGGUGAAAUGCGUAGAGAUCUGGAGGAAUACCGGUGGCGAAGGCGGCCCCCUGGACAAAGACUGACGCUCAGGUGCGAAAGCGUGGGGAGCAAACAGGAUUAGAUACCCGAGUAGUC